CGGACAGGGGGGUUCCCGCUCACCGGCGGGGCCUGUCCAGUUGAGGUUGCGCGAACGCGUGGCCAGUGGUUGUCGCUCGGGGGUGAUCGCCG
rnacentral:sRNA from 1 species